UAACUGGUAUAAUCACCAUCAUCGAAGGGAUUGAAAAGCUGGCGAUCAAACCUUCAGUGCUUUGCAGCUAUAAGUCAAAUAUUCUGAGAUGCAAGGACCCAUUAGUCAGCUCGAACUGUGCGCUUGGUCACAUCCCAGCAGUUACACUGGCUCUUGAACCUCCUCUCUGUCCCCACAGGCUGCCCUGUCUUUGGAUCGGCUACCUAUCAAUCCUUAGAAUACAGCUCCCCUGGACUGAUCCUUGACUUCCUUUCCCAACCCUGCUCCUCACCAAGGCUGGGUUAGGAGCCCACCCUUGGUAACUACAGACUUUCUCAUAACCCCAGUCUUAUCACACUGUGGCCCGAUGGCUUGCUCACUUGCCUGCCUUCUUCCUGCAACACCAGGGCAUAAGCAUCAUAUUCACCUUUGAUUUCCCAGUGCUGAGCACAGCACCAGGCUGACAGUAGUUGAUUAUGAAAUAUUUACGGGUGGGUGUUUUGUGCAUGCCCACCCGCUCCUUGCCAGGCUAAAUGGAGGGGAAACUCCCCAAGUGAAGGCCUGAUUCCUCGACUGGAGAAGAACAAUUGCAGGAAGUGUUAGCUUGGUGAGUGGUAAACACUGGGGUGAGAACAUUUGCCGAGAGCCAGCUUCAACUGGUGAAUUGAUUGGGUUGGAGCAAACAAGAGGUGCCUGCCCAGUGUAUGAACUGGUUCCAGAGAGGAGAGAAGAAUGGGAGGUGUGCCUGAGCUGAGACAAAAGAACACAGGCUUACACAAGAGGCCUCACUGUCCAGUUCCAUGCUUGCUAGUUCCUCCUGUGAUUACAAUUCUGAUAAGGUCUCUGGGUUUGCAAGGCCGCCAUGCAGGCCUUCCCUGAGGAAGUCCGGCUGGCGUGUGGCACACAGGUGGUCCGGAAGACCAGCUCCGGUGAGCUUUUCCCAAGCUGCUGAGGGGCUGGGAGUGCCCACUUCUCAAUCCUGCUUGCCCCUGAUCCAGUUUUAGUUCCAGAGCUCUGUGUCCAGGACGAGGAAUUCCGAAGGGGAAAAGAGGCUGUCCAUCAUCUCCCCUAGUCCUGCUGCUGGCUGGAGCUUGCUGUUGGCUGGAGCUCGCUGUUGGCUGGAGCUCGCGUGUGCCCUCCUGGUUCCACCUCUGAUGCCCAGUGACCUAGGGCUAUCACUUCCCCAAUCAGUGUGUAGUGGGAGGGCCUUUCCACCCACUGGAGCACUGACAGGCUUCUUGGAAAAGUAAAGGCAAUUGGUUAUUACUUAUUCAUCUUCAGCCUGGAAAAACCUGACUCCGUGAAGCUCAGAAUUUCCUGCUGAGGAUCAGAGUCGGUGCAGGUAACAGCAUCAAAGACCUGGGUCACGGGUCACUGGAGAAUGUGGCUCCACCAUUACCUUAGGGAACUUGAACGUGGAAAACAAUAAGGGCGGGAAUCCAGGCCCCCAUCAUGAGGGUGCAGGAGGAGUGGGUGGAGAGGUGAGGGACUCGCAGAUUUCUUCUAUGUAUUUCUCUUUCUGGCAGGCUUCAGUUCGUCCCUUCCCUGAUUCUUAUAGGAAACUUCAUUGUUGAGCCUCCUCUGAGAUUCCAAGCAUUCUGGGGGACACCUGUUCUGUGUACGCUGGAGAACAACAUGCCACCUCUCCCCCGCAAGGAUCACAGAGUCCCUGGGAAGAACGGGAAGGAAGGAAUGUCAGAUGCGUGUGUUGGGGGUUGUGACUAGUUCAGAGCUUGUGGGAGGGGCCCCAGAGCUCAGCGCCCAGCGGGGCAUGUUAGAGGGAGCUUCCUAAAAGAGGCGGUGGUAGGGACAAAUGGGUAUUCUGCAGGUGAGCGAGUGGGAAACAGGUAUUUCCGGCCAAAGAAAGAAAACAUGCACAGAGAGGUAAGAGAACAAGGUCCUUCAAAGGGCUCUAAGUAAUGCUGGAGCUCAGGGGUGGUCCUGGAGGAGUGGCAGGAGAUGAGAGUGGACACCAACCCAGGAAUGCUUAGUUUAGAAGCUAGGCUUCACGACUUGCAAUUCAGGGAAAAGGAGCCGCCACUGAAGUGUUCUAUGCAGAAUGGCCUUAUUGGAAUUGUGAUUUAGAAAGCAUUUAAAAGCAAUAAUAGCAGGAUUAGUUGAUAUUUAUUGAGCACUUAUUAUGCACCAGGCAUAUCUGAGCACUUUUCUUGACAGGAUGCAUUUAGUUUUGGGCGUGAGGUGUAGGUCAGAUGUGACCCAUCAGGCUGACCCCAGCCACUCUGCCCUUGGCCACUACGCUAUGAACACCCCUGCUGCUGUCCUGUCUCAGGAACAAAUGCUACUUCUCCUUGCUUAUCUGUUCCUUGUUGCUUCUCAGUUUGAAGCUGGUCUGCUCCAGCAAUUCUCAGGCACAAACAAGAGGUGUGGCUUUGUGAACAGCCCCAGGUCUCAACUAUUUACAAAUCAGAAAGAGGCACAGAGAACUCCAAGCGGCUGCCUGGGCUUUCGGGGAAGAUUGCUGCGCAGUUCCCUUCCUCCCAGUCCUGGGAACCCACAGAAAUCCCUCUCCUGGCCUUGGCUUCUGGAUCCCAGAAUGCCUCUCCUUUUCUCAAUUUCACUCGAAACCCCUUUUCUCUCUCUCUCACUUGGAGCCAGUUGCUUGGAAUCAAAUUCCUAGGAGCACAUUUAAGAAAAAUCAAACCAGGGUUAAAAGAGGGAGAAUUUAAAAAUAAAAGGGAUUGCUUUCAUUCCUCGAGGGCAAAUCUUGUGCCUUAAGAAAGUCCCAGACUGAACAUAACCCGAGACAUGCCUGUCAAUGUCAAAUGUUUAUUCAAUCAAUCGACGCACAUUUACCGAGCUGCUGUGUGCCAGGAACGGUGCUGGCUAGAUGCAGGGAGAUGUCUAAGUGGCAGAGUCUCCCUUCACGCCUAAUGGAGGGACUCAGCGUCAGUCACGGUACUCUUACAAUGUCGCUGUUCGUGGUCCUCACCUCCCUGCACGCCUCCAUCUCCUCGGCGAUUCUCGCCAAUGUGUCUCUUGACUUUCGGGAAACCCUGAGGCACUCCUUCCCCGAAAUGUUCCCACACUGGACACUCUAGCCCGGAGCGGGGAGAGGGCUCCGGCUGAGCCAGGUGUCACCACGCAUUCCUCCCUCCUCCUUUCCCACGUGACUCACAGGUGACUAGGCACACUCAGGCCUGUUGGGGGUGAAGGGAUUCAGGACAGGUCUCCCCAGGAGGGGCUCUGUUGGCAGGCAAAUUAUUUUGAGCCGAAGGCAAUGGAGACCUGUGGGCUCAGAAGAAGUGUCUGCCCCUCCCUUCACUGCCUCGCAGUAUUUAAACGGAGGGACUUCCCCACAAGAAGGGUUAUUACCAGAGAUAACUUUCAACCACUGAUCUAUAUGGCAGGACAAGCAUAGAAUUACUCACCGUCUGCUCUUCUUACCAUCCUGCAGGAGACUGUGGCCCCUCUGAAGCCUGACCCCAUCCUUGGCUCAGAAUGUCAUGUGGACCUCAUUUUCCCCUUCUGUCUCUGAACCUCUCAUAUAUGUGGGUCUCUCUCUUGUGUAUAUGAGGUCCCCAUACAUAACAUAUGUAAUUAAAUUUGGUUAUUUUUGUCUUAUUAA